GUCCACGCCGUAAACGAUGGGCACUAGGUGUGGGGGGUGUCGACUCCCUCCGUGCCGAAGCUAACGCAUUAAGUGCCCCGCCUGGGGAGUACGGCCGCAAGGCUAAAACUCAAAGGAAUUGACGGGGGCCCGCACAAGCAGCGGAGCAUGUGGUUUAAUUCGACGCAACGCGAAGAACCUUACCUGGGCUUGACAUGUGGGUGACCGCCCUGGAAACAGGGCUUCCCUUCGGGGCACCUUCACAGGUGGUGCAUGGCUGUCGU
rnacentral:rRNA from 1 species